rnacentral:piRNA from 1 species
CAGUAAUGCAAAGGUUUUGCUUCAGUAGU